GAAUUACGGUACAAACUUUAUGGUGCUUUGGAGAACUAUGUAAUUGGUAAUUGGUUUUGUGAAUCAGGUGUUUAAUUCAGAAAUUGGAGGUGUUUUUGGAGUAAUAGAAGGGACUGUGGUGUUCUGAAUUGUGGCUUUGGUGGGUUUGGCGAGAGUGAGGAUCGCAGAUUCUAUGCAAAGAAGUUUUGCUGUGAUUUUCGUGCCACUGUUCCUUUGUCUGUUAUUUACUAUUUAGUGCUAUUUCAGGCUACUAUUUCUAUUCAGAUUCUGUGAACAGUCUGGCAUUGAAUUUUUCAACUGGUUUAAAUUCAGGUAUGCGUUUUAGAGAAGUGUGAGUGUUUGUUUGAAAAUAGUUUGUGAAUAAAUGAAUAUAGC